rnacentral:rRNA from 1 species
CAGCAGCCGCGGUAAUACGUAGGGUGCAAGCGUUAAUCGGAAUUACUGGGCGUAAAGCGUGCGCAGGCGGUUAUAUAAGACAGAUGUGAAAUCCCCGGGCUCAACCUGGGAACUGCAUUUGUGACUGUAUAGCUAGAGUACAGCAGAGGGGGAUGGAAUUCCGCGUGUAGCAGUGAAAUGCGUAGAUAUGCGGAGGAACACCGAUGGCGAAGGCAAUCCCCUGGGCCUGUACUGACGCUCAUGCACGAAAGCGUGGGGAGCAAACAGGAUUAGAUACCCGCGUAGUCCCUGUCUCUUAUAC